rnacentral:rRNA from 1 species
UACGUAGGGUGCAAGCGUUGUCCGGAAUUAUUGGGCGUAAAGAGCUCGUAGGCGGUUUGUCGCGUCUGCUGUGAAAACCCGAGGCUCAACCCCGGGCCUGCAGUCGAUACGGGCAGACUAGAGUCCGGAAGAGGAGAGUGGAAUUCCUGGUGUAGCGGUGAAAUGCGCAGAUAUCAGGAGGAACACCGAUGGCGAAGGCAGGUCUCUGGGCCACUACUGACGCUGAGAAGCGAAAGCAUGGGGAGCGAACAGG